rnacentral:piRNA from 1 species
UNGCCUAAGGGAUUCUUGCUCAGGUAGGU